rnacentral:rRNA from 4 species
UAGGGAAUCUUCCGCAAUGGACGAAAGUCUGACGGAGCAACGCCGCGUGAGUGAUGAAGGCUUUCGGGUCGUAAAACUCUGUUGUUAGGGAAGAACAAGUGCUAGUUGAAUAAGCUGGCACCUUGACGGUACCUAACCAGAAAGCCACGGCUAACUACGUGCCAGCAGCCGCGGUAAUACGUAGGUGGCAAGCGUUAUCCGGAAUUAUUGGGCGUAAAGCGCGCGCAGGUGGUUUCUUAAGUCUGAUGUGAAAGCCCACGGCUCAACCGUGGAGGGUCAUUGGAAACUGGGAGACUUGAGUGCAGAAGAGGAAAGUGGAAUUCCAUGUGUAGCGGUGAAAUGCGUAGAGAUAUGGAGGAACACCAGUGGCGAAGGCGACUUUCUGGUCUGUAACUGACACUGAGGCGCGAAAGCGUGGGGAGCAAACA